CCCCGAAAGCUGAAAGCCGACGAGCAGGAACCCGCACGCCAUCACGAACGCAUUCGUGGCGAAGGCGUGAUCGAAGAACGCACGGUGCGAGCGCCACCAGGUCAACGCGAUCAAGAUGCCGGUCAGCGCGAGACCCUGCCCGAUCUCGACGCCGACAUUGAAGCUCACGAUAUUGGCGACGAGACCGUUUGGUGACAGCUCGAACUCCUGAAGCUUCGUGGCCAGACCGAAGCCAUGGAAGAGGCCGAAGAUGAGGACGGCGAUCCGUGUGUUCGGCUGAAAGCCAAGGAACCGCUUGAAGCCGUCCAUGUUCUCGAACGCCUUGUAGACGACCGAGAAGCCGAUGAUG
rnacentral:misc_RNA from 1 species